GAUGAACGCUGGCGGCGUGCCUAAUACAUGCAAGUCGAGCGAACAGACGAGGAGCUUGCUCCUCUGACGUUAGCGGCGGACGGGUGAGUAACACGUGGAUAACCUACCUAUAAGACUGGGACAACUUCGGGAAACCGGAGCUAAUACCGGAUAAUAUAUUGAACCGCAUGGUUCAAUAGUGAAAGACGGUUUUGCUGUCACUUAUAGAUGGAUCCGCGCCGCAUUAGCUAGUUGGUAAGGUAACGGCUUACCAAGGCAACGAUGCGUAGCCGACCUGAGAGAGUGAUCGGCCACACUGGAACUGAGACACGGUCCAGACUCCUACGGGAGGCAGCAGUAGGGAAUCUUCCGCAAUGGGCGAAAGCCUGACGGAGCAACGCCGCGUGAGUGAUGAAGGUCUUCGGAUCGUAAAACUCUGUUAUUAGGGAAGAACAAAUGUGUAAGUAACUAUGCACGUCUUGACGGUACCUAAUCAGAAAGCCACGGCUAACUACGUG
rnacentral:rRNA from 1 species